rnacentral:lncRNA from 1 species
GCUCAGGCGUGUAGAUGGGAGCAGUAGAAGAAACAAAAAAGAAAGAGGACGAAGAAGAAAGGAAAAUGGAAGUGGAAGAAGAGGAGGAGCCAAGCCACAAUAUUUAGCUGAGGUGGGCCUCCGGUGCGGCCAGGCAGUUCAGCCUUGCCGUCAACCCUCCAUGUGAUGAGUCCGCAGAAAACGACACGCUGAUUUAUUUGAAGUCAAGGACGGAGCCUUGAAAAACACCACACCCGUUUUGUCCACCGCCAUCACCACCUUCUCCCAGAUCAAGGACAAAGUGUAUUACAGACUCACACAUAAGGAAGAUAUGCGUGUGAUUGUGUUUGGGUGUGUUUGGAUGCAUUUGGGUGUGUUUUGGGUCUGUUUGGGUGUGUUUUGAGGUGUUUUGAGUGUGUUUGGUGUGUUUUGGGGUUCUUGGGUGCAUUUGGGGUGUUUUGAGGU